CGUGCUGGGUCUCUAGCCCUUGCCUGGUGUGGGUUUGGCGCCCUGCCCCCAACCCAGGGGGUGGAACUACCUCUCCCAGCAGCUUCCCUCUUCCCCUGGCAGAAUGGCGUGCGAGCUCUUCCUCCUCUCCUCCCUCUGGUUCCUCUUCCUCAUCUUCUGGAUGGAGACCAUCAGCCUCUGGCUCUUCCUGUGCAACUUCUACCAGGACCGAGCCUUCUACCACUGGGGGGAGCGCGCUGGGCCUGGCCGGCCGCCAACCUGCUCCCAGCACAGCGGCUGGGGAAGACGAGCACACAGCUGGUCCCCGGCUGGCUGGAGGACGUGAGUUCAGAGGUGGGGAUCCCAGGGUAGGAGGCACCUGCUGCCGCCCCCACCAGGCUCAGAACUCAGUCAGGCACCGUGUUGAACCCUGGCCGGUGAGGGACCCGUCUGUGCAGCUGGCAGAGCAAACGGAGCCAGGGCAUCAGGGGCUAGGACUUGCGGCCAGCUGCUGGAGCAUGGGAGGGGCACGUGGCCCGUCCCCACCCCACAUUCGGAGGGACGGAGGCAGCACUGGUGCUGCAGGCCAUGCAGGCCUCCAGUGAUUCCACCCCCUGGCCCGGGGAAAAUGUGGAGCUAGCUGCCGGGGGAGGCACAAAGCCGUUAACCAGCCCCUCUGUGGGGGUGCAGGCCACUGUGCUGGGUCCACACUGUUAGAGCAGCCUUGGGGCUGCUCUCAGUUCUGCUCUAGCUGAGGAGGGGACAUGGCCUUGCAGUGCAGCCUGGACACCUCCAUGAGCCUGGGGCUCCUGUGUAAAUAAACAGCUUCAGCAGCAGCCUGUUUCCA
rnacentral:lncRNA from 1 species